UACAGAGGUCUCAAGCGUUGUUCGGAUUCAUUGGGCGUAAAGGGUGUGUAGGUGGCGCGCUAAGUCGGGUGUGAAAUUUCGGAGCUUAACUCCGAAACUGCAUUCGAUACUGCCGUGCUUGAGGACUGGAGAGGAGACUGGAAUUUACGGUGUAGCGGUGAAAUGCGUAGAUAUCGUAAGGAAGACCAGUGGCGAAGGCGGCUCACUGGCCCGAUACUGACGCUGAGGUGCGAAAGCGUGGGGAGCAAACAGG
rnacentral:rRNA from 1 species